GGUGAUUGCUGCUGAGAGAGGAGUUGGAUGCUAUUCUGCUAUGGAUUUGGUUUUGUUGGAGUUUUGCCAUAGUGAAAUGUACUGAUGCACAUGGUGUGCUCCUCCUGCUCCACUCUGAGCUCUCUGUGUAUUUGCGAAGAGUUCAGAGCCUUCAACCUCUUCAAGGAAAAAAGCAGCAGCCAUGGAGGAGAUGGGAGCCUUGCUGCUGCUCCAGUCCUCAUGUAAUGCCCACAGCACGACCUCGGGGAUCCCAGGGCAGGCUGUGCUCUGAUAUCUUCCAUCUUCUGCUGCCGUACCAGAAAUGUGAGCGUCUCACUGUACAGCUAAUGGAGGAAGACUCUCACCUGCUCCAUCCCGUAUGACUGAGCUGAAUUUGGAGCUGAAGAGGACGUCUGUGUGGUUCAAGAUGAACUCCACAACGACUGACUGGAUCCGCACCUCCAUGAAGGCAGCUGUUCCACUGAAGCAGGCAGACUCAAUCUGCUUUGAUCUGAAGAAAAGGUACAUUAAGCACCACUGCAACCAGCCAGAAGAGUGGGAAGGUGUGCACCCCUUGGGUAAGGCUUUGGCUCAUGUUAACUGUUGUGCCUCACUGCACAGGCAGACAGAACAUUAGGGACAGACAAGAGAUUAAAUCUCAUCCAAGCAUUAUAGAAAUAUCACACUGACUGCAGUGAUUUAUACCCUGUUGUGGUUAACCUGGCAGGUGGCUCAGCACCACACAGUUGUUUGCUCACCUCCCCCCUUCCCAAUAGGACAGGGGAGAGAAUCGGGAAAAAAAAACAAGUAGAACUGGUGGUUGAGAUAAAAUAUUUACUAAGAUAGAGAAAAGGAAAAGGAUAAUAGUUAUACCUAUGCAUUGCUCACCACCCCCACCGAUGCCCAGCCAGCCCCUGAGCAGUGGAAGAGAUGAACUCCCAACCCCUUGAAAACUCCUUCCACUUGAUGCCAUAUGGGAUGGAAUAUUCCUCUGGUCAGUUUCAGUCAGCUGUCCUCAUCCUGCCCCCCCCCCCCCCGCUCCUUGGGCUCUUUGCUGUGAAUGCCCUUAGCUCUGCACAACACUGCACAGCAGCAGCUAUGAAUAUCAGUGUGUUCAGUGUGUUAUCAGCACUGUUUUCUCCUAGAACUGUAACAUGGCACCAUACCAGGCACUGCAAAGAAAACAAUUCCAUCCCAGCUGAAACUAAGGCAUACCCAGAUUUUGGCUUUAGGCUAAAACAGGCAAGAGAAACAUGCGGUCAAAAAGGAAAAGAAGAGUGGGGCAGGUCCAGAUGGAGGUAAAUGUACUGCAUACACAAAGCAGGAGCUCACCCUUAACUUCCUUCCAGAGACAAUGUGUGGCAGCAGUUUAAUGCAGUGGCACUGCACAAAGCCCAGCACGGGCUGCUACACGGCUUUCCCUCUAGCAGGAAAUGUCUCCAACUGGUCCUGCUCAGCGAGAACCCCAGUAUUCACAACAGCAAACUCAAAUGAGAUCUUUUAAGAGUGCUUGUGAGUGAAUUGCCAGAGAGGAGAAAAUAGCUCUCCCUCAUUAACUGCUCACAGGGGGGAGCUCUGACUCAGACUUCUCAGGCUGGUAACAAAGCAGUGCAGAAAUCAAUGCAAUGGAGGCCAGGGGUGAUUUUCUUUCUUUCUUUUAAAGCACAGAUUUUAAAAUUACACCAUUAAUUUUAGACUACCCCGUUAGGCACAUUGAAAACAAACUGUAGGAGUCAUUUCUCCGAGAUCAUUUCCCUAAGCCUGAAUUUUUGCAGCCAAAUGCUGUCAGCUCAGACCCUGGAGACUUCUGCAGUGGGCAAUCAGCAAUGCCACUGACCAAAUUUCCCUGGAUGAUCAAGGGCACAUCAGUCCCAUCUAACUGAGUGGGAAUUAUCACCUGGAAGUGGUGCUGCUGGGGCAGGGGGAGAACAGUCCAGGCUCUUCCCCUGCUCUGAGUAACUUAUUAAAAUGUGACAGGAGAGGAGCAUGUCUGAUGGAGAAAAAGGUAAGAUUGUUGUGGUUUUCUUUUCCAAUAGAACAGAUGUAAGCCUUGAAAUGGGAAAAAAAAACAAGUUUACCUUAAAAGGUUUGGAGCCCAAACAAUCGCUAAGUUCUUCGCAUGCAUGUUUGUGAUGGUGCAGUAAUCAGCCAAACGAGCUAAGUGUCUCAUUAGGUAUUCCAGUGUCCUGGAAAACAAGAGAAGCACAGAUGUUCAGCACCAAUGGAGGUGCCAUGCUGCAACUGACAAACAAACCUCAGUUCAUUGUUGUGUGUUUUCUCUCUGUGACCAAUCAAUACAGAAGUUGAGCUAUGUGCCCUAAGAAGAAUGGUGGGGUUGUCCUUAUC
rnacentral:lncRNA from 1 species